rnacentral:pre_miRNA from 1 species
GUACUACUCCCUCCGUUCGGAAUUAUUUGUCGCAGAAAUGGAUGUAUCUAGACGUAUUUUAAUUCUAGAUACAUCCAUUUCCGAGACAAGUAAUUCCGAACGGAGGGAGUAGGUU